rnacentral:rRNA from 1 species
UACGUAGGGACCAAGCGUUGUUCGGAUUUACUGGGCGUAAAGGGCGCGUAGGCGGCAAUUCAAGUCAUCUGUGAAAUCCCCGGGCUUAACCUGGGAACUGCAUUUGUGACUGCAUGGCUGGAGUGCGGCAGAGGGGGAUGGAAUUCCGCGUGUAGCAGUGAAAUGCGUAGAUAUGCGGAGGAACACCGAUGGCGAAGGCAAUCCCCUGGGCCUGCACUGACGCUCAUGCACGAAAGCGUGGGGAGCAAACAGG